rnacentral:rRNA from 1 species
UACGUAGGGGGCAAGCGCUGUCCGGAAUCAUUGGGCGUAAAGAGCGUGUAGGCGGCUUGGUAAGUCCGCUGUGAAAGUCCAGGGCUCAACCCUGGAAAGCCGGUGGAAACUGUCAAGCUUGAGUCCGGAAGAGGCGAGUGGAAUUCCUGGUGUAGCGGUGAAAUGCGCAGAUAUCAGGAGGAACACCAAUGGCGAAGGCAGCUCGCUGGGACGGUACUGACGCUGAGACGCGAAAGCGUGGGGAGCAAACAGG